rnacentral:rRNA from 1 species
GACGAACCGUGCGAACGUUAUUCGGAAUCACUGGGCUUAAAGGGCGCGUAGGCGGGCUGUCAAGUCUGGGGUGAAAUCCCGCGGCUCAACCGUGGAACUGCCUUAGAUACUGACGGCCUCGAGGAAGGUAGGGGCAUGCGGAACUGUAGGUGGAGCGGUGAAAUGCGUUGAUAUCUACAGGAACUCCGGUGGCGAAAGCGGCGUGCUGGACCUUUUCUGACGCUGAGGCGCGAAAGCUAGGGGAGCAAACGGG